GAUGAACGCUGGCGGCGUGCUUAACACAUGCAAGUCGAACGAUGAAGCCCAGCUUGCUGGGUGGAUUAGUGGCGAACGGGUGAGUAACACGUGAGUAACCUGCCCUUAACUCUGGGAUAAGCCUGGGAAACUGGGUCUAAUACCGGAUAGGAGCGUCCACCGCAUGGUGGGUGUUGGAAAGAUUUAUCGGUUUUGGAUGGACUCGCGGCCUAUCAGCUUGUUGGUGAGGUAAUGGCUCACCAAGGCGACGACGGGUAGCCGGCCUGAGAGGGUGACCGGCCACACUGGGACUGAGACACGGCGCAGACUCCUACGGGAGGCAGCAGUGGGGAAUAUUGCACAAUGGGCGCAAGCCUGAUGCAGCGGCGCCGCGUGAGGGAUGACGGCCUUCGGGUUGUAAACCUCUUUCAGUAGGGAAGAAGCGAAAGUGACGGUACCUGCAGAAGAAGCACCGGCUAACUACGUG
rnacentral:rRNA from 1 species